CCUACGGGAGGCAGCAGUGAGGAAUAUUGGUCAAUGGGCGCGAGCCUGAACCAGCCAAGUCGCGUGAGGGAAGACGGCCCUACGGGUUGUAAACCUCUUUUGUCGGGGAGCAAAGCGAGUCACGUGUGACUCAUUGAGAGUACCCGAAGAAAAAGCAUCGGCUAACUCCGUGCCAGCAGCCGCGGUAAUACGGAGGAUGCGAGCGUUAUCCGGAUUUAUUGGGUUUAAAGGGUGCGCAGGCGGAGGUGCAAGUCAGCGGUCAAAUUGCGGGGCUCAACCGUAAAAUUGCAAUUGAUACUGGCAGUCUUGAGUACAGUUGAGGUAGGCGGAAUUCGUGGUGUAGCGGUGAAAUGCUUAGAUAUCACGAAGAACCCCGAUUGCGAAGGCAGCUUACUAAACUGUGACUGACAUUGAUGCUCGAAAGUGUGGGUAUCAAACAGGAUUAGAUACCCUGGUAGUC
rnacentral:rRNA from 1 species